UACCAGCACCCCGAGUGGUCGGGACGAUUAUUGGGCCUAAAGCAUCCGUAGCCGGUCAUGCAAGUCCUCCGUUAAAUCCACCUGCUUAACAGAUGGGCUGCGGAGGAUACUACAAGGCUAGGAGGCGGAAGAGGCAAGUGGUACUCAGUGGGUAGGGGUAAAAUCCUCUGAUCCAUUGAAGACCACCAGUGGCGAAGGCGGCUUGCCAAUACGCGCUCGACGGUGAGGGAUGAAAGCUGGGGGAGCAAACCGG
rnacentral:rRNA from 1 species